UACGGAGGGGGCAAGCGUUAUUCGGAAUUAUUGGGCGUAAAGGGCGCGUAGGCGGCUAGAUGUGUCAAAGGUGAAAUCCCUCGGCUCAACUGAGGAACUGCCUUUGAAACUGUCUGGCUUGAGGCCGGGAGAGGGUAGCGGAAUUCCCAGUGUAGCGGUGAAAUGCGUAGAUAUUGGGAGGAACACCAGUGGCGAAGGCGAGUCUCUGGACGACACCUGACACUGAGGCACGAAAGCUAGGGGAGCAAACAGG
rnacentral:rRNA from 1 species